GUCAGAUUCAUGUCUUGACAUGCAGUCUCCACUGUCUCGACUGCAGGACAGCAACUCACACAAGAGGCAGUGGGGUUCAGUAACUCUUAAUGGAAGAACGCCUCAUAAAAGCAGUCCUAAUGGAAAUGUGCUGCCAAAAGACACUCAGAGGAGUGAAACGGUGAGACCUGUCAGGCCGUCUCUCAGUGGUGACCGG